rnacentral:rRNA from 1 species
CCUACGGGAGGCAGCAGUGGGGGAUAUUGCACAAUGGGGGGAACCCUGAUGCAGCGACGCCGCGUGGGUGAAGGAGUGCUUCGGUAUGUAAAGCCCUAUCGGCAGGGAAGAAGCAAGACGGUACCUGACUAAGAAGCCCCGGCUAACUACGUGCCAGCAGCCGCGGUAAUACGUAGGGGGCGAGCGUUAUCCGGAUUCACUGGGUGUAAAGGGAGCGUAGACGGCCAUGCAAGCCAGGGGUGAAAGCCCGGGGCCCAACCCCGGGACUGCCCUUGGAACUGCAUGGCUGGAGUGCGGGAGGGGCAGGCGGAAUUCCUGGUGUAGCGGUGAAAUGCGUAGAUAUCAGGAGGAACACCGGCGGCGAAGGCGGCCUGCUGGACCGCGACUGACGUUGAGGCUCGAAAGCGUGGGGAGCGAACAGGAUUAGAUACCCGGGUAGUC